GACGAACGCUGGCGGCGUGCCUAAUACAUGCAAGUUGAGCGCUGAAGGAUGGUACUUGUACCAACUGGAUGAGCAGCGAACGGGUGAGUAACGAGUGGGGCAUCUGCCUUUGAGCGGGGGACAACAUCUGGAAACGACUGCUAAUACUGCAUCAAACCUUUAAACACAGGUUUUAAGUUUGAAUGAUGCAUUUGCCUCAUUCAAGGAUGAUCCUGCGUUGUAUUAGCUGGUUGGGGAGGUAAAGGCCCACCAAGGCGUUGAUACAUAGCCGACCUGGGGGGGUGAUCGGCCACAUUGGGACUGAGACACGGCCCAAACUCCUACGGGGAGCAGCAGUAGGGAAACUUCGGCAAUGGACGAAAGUCUUGCCGAACAACGCCGCGUGAGUGAAGAAGGUCUUCGGAUCGUAAAACUCUGUUGGUAGAGAAGAACGAUGGGGAGAGUGGAAAGCUCAUCAAGUGACGGUAACUACCCAGAAAGGGACGGCUAACUACGUG
rnacentral:rRNA from 1 species